GAUGAACGCUGGCGGCGUGCCUAAUACAUGCAAGUCGAGCGAACAGACGAGAGUGCUUGCACUCUCUGACGUUAGCGGCGGACGGGUGAGUAACACUUGGGUAACCUACCUAUAAGACUGGGAUAACUUCGGGAAACCGGAGCUAAUACCGGAUAAUAUUUAGCUUCGCAUGAAGCAAUAGUGAAAGACGGUUCUGCUGUCACUUAUAGAUGGACCCGCGGUGUAUUAGCUAGUUGGUGAGGUAACGGCUCACCAAGGCAACGAUACAUAGCCGACCUGAGAGGGUGAUCGGCCACACUGGGACUGAGACACGGACCAGACUCCUACGGGAGGCAGCAGUAGGGAAUCUUCCGCAAUGGACGAAAGUCUGACGGAGCAAUGCCGCGUGAGUGAAGAAGGUUUUCGGAUCGUAAAGCUCUGUUGUAAGGGAAGAACAAGUACGUUAGUAACUGAACGUACCUUGACGGUACCUUACCAGAAAGCCACGGCUAACUACGUG
rnacentral:rRNA from 1 species